GUAAAAGGUGUUAAUCAAACAACUACCCUACAAGGUAUAAUACACCAUGCAACAGGUGUUAAUCAAACAACUACCCUACAAGGUAUAAUACACCAUGUAAAAUGUAUUAAUCAAACAACUACCCUACACGGUAUAGUACACCAUGUAAAAGGGUAUUAAUCAAACAACUACCCUACAAGGUAUAAUACACCAUGUAAAAGGGUAUUAAUCAAACAACUACCUUACAAGGUAUAAUACACCAUGUAAAAUGUAUUAAUCAAACAACUACCCUACAAGGUAUAAUACACCAUGUAAAAUGUAUUAAUCAAACAACUACCCUACAAGGUAUAAUACACCAUGUAAAAUGUAUUAAUCUUUCAACUACCCUACAAGGUAUAAUACACCAUGUAAAAGGGUAUUAAUCAAACAACUACCCUACAAGGUAUAAUACACCAUGUAAAAUGUAUUAAUCAAACAACUACCCUACAAGGUAUAAUACACCAUGUAAAAUGUAUUAAUCAAACAACUACCCUACAAGGUAUAAUACACCAUGUAAAAUGUAUUAAUCAAACAACUACCCUACAAGGUAUAAUACACCAUGUAAAAUGUAUUAAUCAAACAACUACCCUACAAGGUAUAAUACACCAUGUAAAAGGUGUUAAUCAAACAAGACAAAUAUUUAAGACCAAACUGGAAAAAAAUUAAUAACAAGAACUUUCAGGCAACAGGUUGUCUACAGUAAAGGCAGGCUAGAGCAGACAUUCAGGAUUUUCUCGCUGUGUUGAAGACCCAUUGGUGGCCUUGGGCUGUUUUCUGCUCUUUUGUCGGAUUGUUGUCUCUUUUCCAUUCUCAAGUUUAUUCCCAGAACAAGGUAGAAAAAUUAGAAGGCCUAUAUAGAGGUCAACAUACAGUUUUAUCAAUAGAUAGAUAUCUAUAAUCAUGUCAAGCUCUAAAAUUACCCCCUUGCUUAAAUAGUUGUGAAUAAACUAAACAGAAACUACUAAAUAUCUAUUCUAAUGACGUGUUAAACGCCACUUAAAGCAAACAUGGCUAUAACAUGGCGACAAAUUUUUAUUGCAAGAAGAUGGGUACCCGGCAAGAAACACUGACAUUUGGCAGGAAAACUGGCAAUUCCUGUCUAUUCAGAUUGAAGUUGAACAUAACUUGCAAGAGCAGAGUUCGAACUUCCAAUGUCAUAGCUGACAGGCUAUAGCUAGUGAUCACAGUAAUGAACCACCUAGACCACUCGGCCAUCAAGGCCCCCUGAAAAUCUGCCAUUUACACAGAUUUUCAAAUAACAAAACAUAUUAAGACAUUAGACAAUAUAUAUAAUAGAAUAUAUCACCCAUCAGUUUUUAAAACAGGUCCUACAUCAGAAUAGCAUAGAUGGUGAAUAAAAAUCACCACAAUUUAAUUAGU